rnacentral:snoRNA from 7 species
GUUUACUGAGCAUGAUGAAAUGAUGCUCAAAAUGAUUACUCUGAAG